GGGUCAGUAGGUUGGUCGUGCCACCGGUACGUACUGGUCUCACUGAUUCCUCCUUCCUGAAGAACCGUAAUGCCAUUAAUUUGGUGUUGCGGGGAAACAGGACUGUUACUUUGAAAAAAUUAGAGUGUUUAAAGCAAGCUAACGCUUGAAUACAUUAGGAUGGAAUAAUGAAAUAGGACGAUCGAUCCUAUUUUGUUGGUUUCUAGGAUUGACGUA
rnacentral:rRNA from 1 species